ensembl:lncRNA
CAGACAUUAGUUUCAGUUUCAGGUUUUUCCAUUUUUAUUGAUUUUUCUGGGAAGAAUUGCGCUCAGCCUUCAUAAAAUAAAAUAAAAUAAAAAACUGGUUGUUUUUACAGCAGGCCAUCCCCAUAGCCUGCCAACCAAGCAACAGACAACCAGAAGCCGACCAAAGGGGGGGGGGGGGGGAAUUGGGGGGAUGGGGUUAAGGGUAGUAGUCGGCUUCAGUUUUCUUGUUUGUUUGUUUUGGUUGCUUCUAGUUUUCUGGUGCUUCGUCAGCGGGUCCACUGGACCCCGGCCAGAGAUCCAGUGUUGCCAGAGAAUGCUCCAGAACAGGGCAGCGGACCCGAGUGCCCGAAUCCCUUGGCAGUUGGGUUCUCCUCCUCUCCUCCUCAAAAUCUAUGAAAUAAACAUAUUAUUAUAUCUAAAGUUAAAAGAUACAGGACUGAUCUAAUAAUAAUAAUUAGUAUUAUCAUAAUAAUAAUUCAGUGUGAAAGAUACUUACAAAAUAAUAAAUGCAAGCAUCGAAAGAGAUCCUUAGGCAGCGUUACGUCACAACUCGUGUGCAGUCAUCUAGUGACAGCUAAAAUUGAAAAAGAAAACUUAAUAUAACCACUUAUUAACAGACUCCAAACUACCUUCUGAGAAAACAAAUCGCAAUAUAAUCCCCUAGAUAAAUCUGCGAACAUGAUGAUCAAAAAUGUAUCUAUCAAGUAGGAGAUGUUUUUUCUAUUUAAUCAGAUGAGACUACGGUAAAACUAGGUCUAAUUCUCACUUGUUAGCAGACAAAAAUGGAUUGUACAUUUUAUUAGACAAAUGGGUGGAGGUGUUAUUCAUUAUAGGCUACGUUACACAACCACAACUUCCUUAUUUUUCAUAGCUAGCAAAGAGAUCACAGAAAAAGAGGCUUUUUUUAAGUAUGCGAUUAUUACUGCUGUAAGUUUUAAAAAGCAAAUAAACAGACAGGAUCACUCACCAGACUGCACACUAGAUCACAGCAUACAAGCAGACCAUCUCCGCUCCGUUUCAGACAAGAGUCUGCAGGAUAGAAAGGACCAGUCUCUGCUUCCUCUCGCUUAAAUACGCAACAACAUUUCCUCAAUAAACUCCUCCCUCUCCUCAUCAGUUUUGGUUUGUCAGUAAAGUGAAC